rnacentral:rRNA from 1 species
AUUGAACGCUGGCGGCAGGCCUAACACAUGCAAGUCGAGCGAGCGGCGGACGGGUGAGUAAUGUCUGGGAAACUGCCUGAUGGAGGGGGAUAACUACUGGAAACGGUAGCUAAUUCCGCCUACCAUCGGAUGUGCCCAGAGGGGAUUGGCUAGUAGGUUGGGUAAAGGCUCACCUAGGCGACGAUCCCUAGCUGGUCUGAGAGGAUGACCAGCCAAACUGGAACGGUGACACGGUCCAGACUCCUACGGUAGGCAGCAGUGGGGAAGAUGGCACAAUGGGCGCAAGCCUGAUGCAGCCAUGCCGCGUGUAUGAAGAAGGCCGUCGGGUUGUAAAGUACUUUCAGCGGGGAGGCGUUACCCGCAGAAGAAGCACCGGCUAACUCCGUGCCAGCAGCCGCGGUAAUUC